GACGAACGCUGGCGGCAGGCCUAACACAUGCAAGUCGAGCGCCCCGCAAGGGGAGCGGCGGACGGGUGAGUAACACGUGGGAACGUACCCUUUGCUACGGAAUAGUCUCGGGAAACUGGGGUAAUACCGUAUGUGCCCUUCGGGGGAAAGAUUUAUCGGCAAAGGAUCGGCCCGCGUUGGAUUAGGUAGUUGGUGGGGUAAUGGCCUACCAAGCCGACGAUCCAUAGCUGGUUUGAGAGGAUGAUCAGCCACACUGGGACUGAGACACGGCCCAGACUCCUACGGGAGGCAGCAGUGGGGAAUCUUAGACAAUGGGCGCAAGCCUGAUCUAGCCAUGCCGCGUGAGCGAUGAAGGCCUUAGGGUUGUAAAGCUCUUUCAGUGGGGAAGAUAAUGACUGUACCCACAGAAGAAGCCCCGGCUAACUCCGUGCCAGCAGCCGCGGUAAAGUCUGUACU
rnacentral:rRNA from 1 species